UACGGAGGAUGCAAGCGUUAUCCGGAAUGAUUGGGCGUAAAGCGUCCGCAGGUGGCUGUAUAAGUCUGCUGUUAAAGAGUGAGGCUCAACCUCAUAAAAGCAGUGGAAACUACACGGCUAGAGUGCGUUCGGGGCAGAGGGAAUUCCUGGUGUAGCGGUGAAAUGCGUAGAUAUCAGGAAGAACACCGGUGGCGAAAGCGCUCUGCUAGGCCGCAACUGACACUGAGGGACGAAAGCUAGGGGAGCGAAUGGG
rnacentral:rRNA from 1 species